AUCAUGACCUAAGUGAAAGUUGGACGCUUAACCGACUAAGCCACCCAGGCGCCCCUGCUGAGGAUUGUUCUAGAAAGAUAGGCCUCUGAACCAAGAGGAGCCACGGCCGAUCUGAUGCACCUGCUGGAGAUUCUGACCUUCCGAGCUGGGCGCUGAGCUGCCUGGAGGUUGCGCCCGGUCAGAGGGUAUGCUGUAGACAAUAAGUUAGAAAGAGAAAGCACGAGCGGGAGAGGGCCCGAAAGAGGGAGACAGCCAGAGGAUCUGAAGCAAGUUCCACGCAGUGAGCACAGAGCCCGACACGGGGCUCAAACUCAUGAACGUAAUUCUACUUCUGGAAACUCACCCUAAGGAAACCGGAGAUGUGAGCAAAACUGUAUGGAAGAAGAGUUUGUUUUAGCUUUAUUUGUAAUAUCAAAACUGGGAAGGACCUACAAUAGCAGCCGAAGAGUUACAUAAGGAAGAGAGUGUCUCCAGCCUCUGCCUGUUUGUUGAUGUGGUUUGUUCAGAUCAGACGGCUGCAGCCGAGGCACAGAACAUAGAUCUAACAGCUGGCAGGUUGGACGUCCCUGCGGCCACAACGCACCGACGCAUCCCCUGCUGGCCGCCCUCGGUGCGGCCGGGCCGGGCCAAGCUUCGCCUCCGUCUCGUUCCUUGGCCACGCGUGAGUCCUGGCUGCAGGGAUGCUUCACAUGGUCUCUUGGACACCGCACAGCAACAGCCUGACAUUUGGUUACAUAAAGUGCAAAUGAAUCACGAACACGUGGAUUGUAUUUCCGUUCAAAUACUCAGGGAUUUCGAUUUAUGGGAAACGGACGGUGGGCUGUACGAGUUAGCGCUGGGUUUUGGGAAAUCGCUCAGAUGGCUGACCAGAUCUUCAGUUCAUGCGUGUCCAUCUGCCGUCGCCCCAGGUUGU